rnacentral:rRNA from 1 species
UACGGGGGGAGCAAGCGUUGUUCGGAAUUACUGGGCGUAAAGGGCGCGUAGGCCGGUUCGUUAAGUCCUGUGUGAAAUCCCCCGGCUCAACUGGGGAACUGCACAGGAAACUAGCGGGCUUGAGUUCGGGAGAGGGAAGCGGAAUUCCGGGUGUAGCGGUGAAAUGCGUAGAUAUCCGGAGGAACACCGGUGGCGAAGGCGG